CUUUAAUGCUUGUAUGAAAAUACAAAAACAACCAUAAUCAGACUCAAAUUAUCAAUAUUAAAAAAAAAAACGAUAGAUAGACAAAUUAACAAAUGAAAAAGAGUUUUUUUACUGUCUUCCAGUUUUUCUUAUCACUUAUCAUUAUACAGGAGACAUCAAUAAGCACUUAAAAAUUUAAUAAUAGUUAAUGGCAUAAAGAAAUUGGAAUUUCAUUUUUUCUUGAAAACAAUUCUAAACCUAUUUCUUAAAAGGAAAUCUAAAGCCUAAUAUCAUUUCGGUGUGUCAUCAAACAACUUGUAAUUAGAAAGACUUUGUUUGAUUAUUUCUGUUUCUGCUUUUUAAAGGAUACAAUUCAAAUAUACACCACAAUUACAAACCUUUUUUUAAAAAGAAUCUAUGGCUUUAACCCGGGGAGCUAACUAUGUUCAAUCGAAGGGGAGAUAACUGUUAUGUAUUUUAUUCAUAAAACUUUGUUAAUUAUCAGGAAAGUAAGAACAUGUACUCAAUUCUUGCCUGAAACAAAAAUGAAAACAUAAAAAAAUUGUUCAAUUUAUAAUGCAUAUAAUUAUUGCCAGGCUAUUCUUGAAAAAAUAUACAUGUAUGUAUAAAAUGAUAACAGAACAGAAUAGUCUCAAACAACUAGUGAACUCUUUAUUUCUUAAAUCAAAAAUUUUAACGUAAGGAGAUGUCUGAUAAACAGCAAUGAGACAGCAUCGAAACAACCCAAUAAAACAAAGAGACACCAAGUUGUUAACAUACACACUUCUUUAAAGGUAGACAAGCCAUUUAUGAAUGCUCUCAAGAAAAAUUAAAAGUAAUCCAACAUUUAUAUUUCUCAAUAUUGAACUAAAAAAUGUACAAACAUGCAAGGUUUAUUAAAAUGAUAUCAGGAAUAUUUUUAACACUAAUUAUCCUUUCAAAACAUAAUAUAAAUGUGAGUUUGAAUUUAUGUGGUUCUCUCUUUGUCAUGUUUAUCUUACUUAGAAAUACUUCACAAGAGUUCUACAUUAAGAUUAUAUGUAUAUCUCGGAUUUCCUUUUAAUAAUGUAUUUUUUUAGUACCAUUUCUUUUGUUCAAAAUGGCCAUGCCUAAAAAUGAACCACCCAUUACUGUGAUUUACAUUUCAAUAAACAAAACAACGGCUUCUCAAAAAACUAAAUACACAAAUAAUGUCAUGAUUAAUAAAAACAUUGUUCAAAAACAAAUAACUGGUAUUUA
rnacentral:lncRNA from 1 species